rnacentral:rRNA from 1 species
CCUGAUCCAGCCAUCCCGCGUGUGUGAUGAAGGCCUUCGGGUUGUAAAGCACUUUUGGCAGGAAAGAAAUACUGUGGGCUAAUACCCCGCGGAGCUGACGGUACCUGAAGAAUAAGCACCGGCUAACUACGUGCCAGCAGCCGCGGUAAUACGUAGGGUGCAAGCGUUAAUCGGAAUUACUGGGCGUAAAGCGUGCGCAGGCGGUUCGUAAAGACAGAUGUGAAAUCCCCGGGCUCAACCUGGGAACUGCAUUUUUAUACUGGAGAGCUAGAUGGGUCAGAGGGAGGUGGAAUUCCGCGUGUAGCAGUGAAAUGCGUAGAUGUGCGGAGGAACACCGAUGGCGAAGGCAGCCUCCUGGGAUAACACUGACGCUCAUGCACGAAAGCGUGGGGAGCAAACAGGAUUAGAUACCCUGGUAGUCCACGCCCUAAACGAUGUCAACUAGCUGUUGGGGCCUUCGGGCCUUGGUAGCGCAGCUAACGCGUGAAGUUGACCGCCUGGGGAGUACGGUCGCAAGAUUAAAACUCAAAGGAAUUGACGGGGACCCGCACAAGCGGUGGAUGAUGUGGAUUAAUUCGAUGCAACGCGAAAAACCUUACCUACCCUUGACAUGUCUGGAAUGCCGAAGAG